AGUGAACGCUGGCGGCAGGCCUAACACAUGCAAGUCGAACGGCAGCACAGCAGUAGCAAUACUGUGGGUGGCGAGUGGCGGACGGGUGAGGAAUGCAUCGGAAUCUGCCCCGUCGUGGGGGAUAACGUAGGGAAACUUACGCUAAUACCGCAUACGACCGAGAGGUGAAAGCGGGGGAUCGCAAGACCUCGCGCGAUUGGAUGAGCCGAUGCCGGAUUAGCUAGUUGGCGGGGUAAAAGCCCACCAAGGCGACGAUCCGUAGCUGGUCUGAGAGGAUGAUCAGCAAACCUGGAACUGAGACACGGUCCAGACUCCUACGGGAGGCAGCAGUGGGGAAUAUUGGACAAUGGGCGCAAGCCUGAUCCAGCCAUGCCGCGUGGGUGAAGAAGGCCUUCGGGUUGUAAAGCCCUUUUGUCCGGAAAGAAAAGCUUCGGGUUAAUAACCCGGGGUCAUGACGGUACCGGAAGAAUAAGCACCGGCUAACUUCGUGCCAGCCGCCGCAGUAA
rnacentral:rRNA from 1 species